rnacentral:rRNA from 1 species
UACGUAGGGUGCAAGCGUUGUCCGGAAUUAUUGGGCGUAAAGAGCUCGUAGGCGGUCUGUCGCGUCGGCUGUGAAAACACGGGGCUCAACUCCGUGCCUGCAGUCGAUACGGGCAGACUAGAGUUCGGUAGGGGAGACUGGAAUUCCUGGUGUAGCGGUGAAAUGCGCAGAUAUCAGGAGGAACACCAGUGGCGAAGGCGGUGCUCUGGGCCGGAACUGACGCUGAGGAGCGAAAGCGUGGGGAGCAAACAGG